CCUGCCACUUUGCCUGUCUGAGUAUAGCCCAGUGGAGGCUAAGAUGGACCCAGCUUUUGGAAACAGGGCUGCCCACACAGUGGGCAACUCUGUGCUGAAAGGCCUAGAACAAAA